CGGAGGAAGGUGGGGAUGACGUCAAAUCAUCAUGCCCCUUAUGUCUUGGGCUGCACGCAUGCUACAAUGGCCGGUACAAAGGGCUGCGAAACCGCAAGGUGGAGCGAAUCCCAAAAAGCCGGUCUCAGUUCGGAUUGGGGUCUGCAACUCGACCCCAUGAAGUUGGAGUUGCUAGUAAUCGUAGAUCAGCAACGCUACGGUGAAUACGUUCCCGGGCCUUGUACACACCGCCCGUCACGUCACGAAAGUCGGUAACACCCGAAGUCAGUGGCCCAACCGCAAGGGGGGAGCUGCCGAAGGUGGGAUCGGUGAUUGGGACGAAGUCGUAACAAGGUAGGCGUACCGGAAGGUGCGGCUGGAUCACCUCCUUUCUAAGGAGC
rnacentral:rRNA from 1 species